rnacentral:rRNA from 1 species
UACGUAGGGACCAAGCGUUGUCCGGAAUCAUUGGGCGUAAAGAGCGUGUAGGCGGCUUGUUAAGUCUUGCGUGAAAUCUCGGGGCUCAACCCCGAGCGGUCGUGAGAAACUGGCAGGCUAGAGUGCGGGAGAGGAGAGUGGAAUUCCUGGUGUAGCGGUGAAAUGCGCAGAUAUCAGGAGGAACACCGGUGGCGAAGGCGGUGAUCUGGGCCGGCACUGACGCUGAGGAGCGAAAGCGUGGGUAGCAAACAGG